rnacentral:lncRNA from 1 species
ACGCUUAGGAUGCCAUCAGGAAAGACCCGCACGCUUGAGGUUGCGCCGGAUGAGGCCAUUUUCGAUGCCAUUGAUCGGACUGACCUGGACCUGCCAUACCUGUGCCGCAGCGGUGAGUUCGAUUGUUACUUUUACUUUGCUUGUGGCAAGAAUUGGAUAUUACUAUUGGUUUAUAGCUUUUUGAGAGCUUGUCAUCAGCGGCCUCAGGGCUCCAUUCGUUGACUCGCUACAUUCGGUGGCCCGGUUGCCUUUACAACAGGCACCUGCGGAACCUGCGCUGGUCGCGUGCAAUCCGGUCAUGUGGAGCAAAUUUCCCAGCACAUUCUGGAUGAUGACCAGGUCAAGGCGGGCUUUGUGCUGCUG